CAUAAGUAUGAACUGCUCAGCGUAACUGCUCUGUAAAUGUUUUAUUGAUCUAAUGGGGGAAAGUGCAUGCAUGAUGGACAGAGCAGGUUAUAACUAACCCUCAGUACUGAUACUAUAACAUUCCUGGCCCUCUGCUGAUAAAGAAUGUCAACAAAGUCUGCUGAGUGUUUUACAGGCAUACCAUACUGUAUAAGUGCAUCAGAGUGACAGUACAGAGUCCGGGCUACAAUGUUACAGUUGCUGGGAAGGCGCACAGAGAGAUCAACUUUAACAUUAAAGAAGUUCAUACAAAAGUCUGAUAACAGAGGAGAAGAAGCUGUCCUUGAAUCUUGCCCCCCAGGGUGACAAAUAGUUUGCCUAUCCAUCUGCACUAUAAACCAAUGCACUGAGGCUGGCAGCCGAGAAGUCGGUGCUGAAGUCAGUGAGAGUACCAAGGAAAGCAAUGUGAAGUACACAGAGACUGGCAACCUCCAAGUGAAUGGCAAAGUGAGUGAGCAGUAGGCUAACAAGGUAAGAGCUG